rnacentral:piRNA from 1 species
AGGGAGCAGAACAGAAACUUGGGUG